GGAUGUGAGGGCGAUCUGGCUGUGACAUCUAUCACCCCGUUGAUCAGCAGGGUUGAUUGGGCUGAUGUGGCUGGCUGGGCUGUGUUCCUUUCCUCCCUCACUGCUGCAUGUGUGUCCCUAUUGAAGCUGCCUGUUUGGUUGAAGAGGACCACCUUCCUCAGUAGAGGAAGACCAUUCUUUUGUCAAGGGUAUGUGAGUAGCUGCGCUCCCCUGCUAGAACUUUCAAACAAGCUCUCAGGGUCCAUUUGUAGGAGAAUAUAGGGUAGUCAAGCUUCCAAGACUCCCGACACAUCCAAGUGAGGCAUUGAACUUGGCAGUCUGCCUUUCUAA
rfam:Mustela putorius furo unplaced genomic scaffold scaffold00027, whole genome shotgun sequence.